rnacentral:rRNA from 1 species
CACGAGUGGCGAACGGGUGAGUAACACGUGGGUGACCUGCCCUGUACUUUGGGAUAAGCCUGGGAAACUGGGUCUAAUACCGAAUAUGACCUUCUCCUGCAUGGGGGUUGGUGGAAAGCUUUGCGGUACAGGAUGGGCCCGCGGCCUAUCAGCUUGUUGGUGGGGUAAUGGCCUACCAAGGCGACGACGGGUAGCCGGCCUGAGAGGGCGACCGGCCACACUGGGACUGAGACACGGCCCAG